UUUCUCUUAGGCAGGACAUGCACUAAAAUUGGAAGUAUACAGAGAAGAUUAGCCUGACCCCUUGCACAAGGAAGACAUGUAAAUUCAUGAAGCAUUCCAUACUUCA